AAAAAAACUUAAGAGAAAAGAUGUUGGUGCUAUACCCACGGCUUAUUUGGUUGGAAUAGGAGCUUUUGGAACCAAUUAAUUGGCUAUACCCACAGCCAAGUUUCCAUUGCUAGGCUUUAGUGACACAUAUAUUCUAGAGAUAGACUUAUGUUAUAUGAUAAUAGUCUAGUAUACUUAUGUCUCUAAUUUUUUCGUGUGAUGAAAUGUUACAAUUUUACUUUGGCUUUUA